rnacentral:rRNA from 1 species
AACCCAAUGUGAACGUUACCAAACUGUUGCCUCGGCGGGGUCACGCCCCGGGUGCGUCGCAGCCCCGGAACCAGGCGCCCGCCGGAGGAACCAACCAAACUCUUUCUGUAGUCCCCUCGCGGACGUAUUUCUUACAGCUCUGAGCAAAAAUUCAAAAUGAAUCAAAACUUUCAACAACGGAUCUCUUGGUUCUGGCAUCGAUGAAGAACGCAGCGAAAUGCGAUAAGUAAUGUGAAUUGCAGAAUUCAGUGAAUCAUCGAAUCUUUGAACGCACAUUGCGCCCGCCAGUAUUCUGGCGGGCAUGCCUGUCCGAGCGUCAUUUCAACCCUCGAACCCCUCCGGGGGAUCGGCGUUGGGGAUCGGGACCCCUCACACGGGUGCCGGCCCCGAAAUACAGUGGCGGUCUCGCCGCAGCCUCUCCUGCGCAGUAGUUUGCACAACUCGCACCGGGAGCGCGGCGCGUCCACGUCCGUAAAACACCCAACUUUCUGAAAUGUUGACCUCGGAUCAGGUAGGAAUACCCGCUGAACUUAA